UACAAUCAGAUUGUGAUUCAGACUACGAAUGCCAUGAAUAUAUAUAUAAGUGAAAACACAAUGUGUUGGAUUCUUGUGAAUGGCAGACUGAAUUAACAAAAUUGAAUAAAUAUGUUUGGUUAAACAAAGAGUUUCACUGAAGACUGGAACCUGUGUUUAUUUAAGAAAUUCUGGGGGCAGCAAAAACAGCUGGUCCUCAAGACCAAGAUGAAGAUAGAGCAGUCUAAGAUCAGGCUAGUACAAAAAAAUCACUCCAGUUGGUCACAAUUCUGGAUGGGAGGACAUUCAAAUGAAAGAUUCAAAGGGAAAUAUGCAAGUAAAUGGGCUUGUGUGAACUGAAAGCUACUGACAGUGAUGGCCAAUCCAGGAUCAAUCUUCACAUUGAGUUAGUGCUAAGAUGAGGAACAUGAGGUUUUCCAAUAUAGAAAAUGUUGUUGAGUCUGGUAGGCACAUCAGUUCAGGUUGGUGUGUUAAACUAAC